GAGGGAAAGGCGAAAAGAACCCCGGCGAGGGGAGUGAAAAAGAACCUGAAACCGUGUACGUACAAGCAGUGGGAGCCCCACCACCAAAGCAUUUGCUGUACCGUGUUGACGGAGCGAAGCGACGUCAAACCGAUAAAACAGCAGUGUAAAGUGAGCCGCAGGGCGCUUUGCGCGACAGCGCAAAGGCAGGCGGUUUCGCGUAGCGAAAGCGAAUGCUUUGGGGUGGGGUGACUGCGUACCUUUUGUAUAAUGGGUCAGCGACUUAUAUUCUGUAGCAAGGUUAACCGAAUAGGGGAGCCGGAGGGAAACCGAGUCUUAA
rnacentral:rRNA from 1 species